rnacentral:rRNA from 1 species
CAGCAGUGGGGAAAUAUUGCACAAUGGGGCGCAAGCCUGAUGCAGCCAUGCCCGCGUGURUGAAGAAAGGCUCUUCGGGAUUGUAAAGCACUUUCAGCKGGGAGGAAGGCGCAGUAGGUUAAUAACCNCCUCUAUUGACGUUACCCRCAGAAKAAGCACCGGCUAACUCUGUGCCAGCAGCCGCGGUAAUACRGAGGGUGCAAGCGUUAAUCGGAAUUACUGGGCGUAAAGCGCACGCAGGCGGUCUGUUAAGUCAGAUGUGAAAUCCCCGGGCUCAACCUGGGAACUGCAUUCAAAACUGRCAGGCUUGAGUCUNGUAGAGGGGGGUAGAAUUCCMGGUGUAGCGGUGAAAUGCGUAGAUAUMGGNAGSAACACCRGUKGCGAAGGCG